rnacentral:rRNA from 1 species
AUUGAACGCUGGCGGCAGGCCUAACACAUGCAAGUCGAGCGGAUGAAGGGAGCUUGCUCCUGGAUUCAGCGGCGGACGGGUGAGUAAUGCCUAGGAAUCUGCCUGGUAGUGGGGGAUAACGUCCGGAAACGGGCGCUAAUACCGCAUACGUCCUGAGGGAGAAAGUGGGGGAUCUUCGGACCUCACGCUAUCAGAUGAGCCUAGGUCGGAUUAGCUAGUUGGUGGGGUAAAGGCCUACCAAGGCGACGAUCCGUAACUGGUCUGAGAGGAUGAUCAGUCACACUGGAACUGAGACGCGGUCCAGACUCCUACGGGAGGCAGCAGUGGGGAAUAUUGGACAAUGGGCGAAAGCCUGAUCCAGCCAUGCCGCGUGUGUGAAGAAGGUCUUCGGAUUGUAAAGCACUUUAAGUUGGGAGGAAGGGCAGUAAGUUAAUACCUUGCUGUUUUGACGUUACCAACAGAAUAAGCACCGGCUAACUUCGCG